CCCAGCGUUGAAACGCUGGGCUAUUCUCGGGUGUCCCUACGGGACG
rnacentral:sRNA from 12 species